UACAGAGGGUGCGAGCGUUGUCCGGAAUCACUGGGCGUAAAGGGCGCGUAGGUGGCCCGGUCAGUCUUUGGUGAAAGCGCGGGGCUCAACCCUGCGUCGGCCAGGGAUACUGCCGCGGCUGGAGCACUGUAGAGGCAGGCGGAAUUCCGGGUGUAGCGGUGGAAUGCGUAGAGAUCCGGAAGAACACCGGUGGCGAAGGCGGCCUGCUGGGCAGUUGCUGACACUGAGGCGCGACAGCGUGGGGAGCAAACAGG
rnacentral:rRNA from 1 species